rnacentral:sRNA from 1 species
CCCACCUGAUGGUGAAUGGUUACCGUCGCCC